GACAGAGGGUGCAAACGUUGUUCGGAUUUACUGGGCGUAAAGCGCGUGUAGGCGGCUUUGCAAGUCGGAUGUGAAAGCCCACGGCUCAACCGUGGAAGUGCAUCCGAAACUGCAUGGCUUGAGUCUCGGAGAGGAAGGUGGAAUGCUUGGUGCAGAGGUGAAAUUCGUAGAUAUCAAGCAGAACACCUGCGGCGAAAGGCGGCCUUCUGGACGAUGACUGACGCUGAGACGCGAAAGCGUGGGGAGCAAACAGG
rnacentral:rRNA from 1 species